UGCCCCUUGGUGUAAUGGCAGCACAGGAGUCUUUGGAACUUCUAGUGGAGGUUCGAAUCCUCCAGGGGCAA
rnacentral:tRNA from 1 species